AAGGGGUGGCAGAGAGCGGGGGAGAGAUCUCAGGAAAAUGAGAGGACAGGGAAGGAGCAGGACUCAUGCGCAAGUAGGAAGAGAAGGACGGAGAUGAGAAGGGUGUGGAUUGGUUUCCCCAGGGUGGAGCCUUUAGGUUUGUGCCAAGUACAUUAUGGUUCAUAUGCAAGUAAAGAUGACAGUUCAUUCAACAAAUAUUUAUUGAGCACCUUGUAUGUACCAGGCACUGUUCUAGGUGCUGAGAAUAUUCUCAUGCUUCUGAGGGAUUACCGACUGGGGGGAUGCCAUGCACCUUCACUUCUAGCAGGUUGUUUGAACAUGACCCUUGGCUGCAUUUCCCAUCUUCGGCACAGCUCAAGCACCCUAAACCUGUCCUCUCCCCCCACAGACCGGCAGGUGGGGUUGGCUCCCAGGUAACCCUCUCUCCCUUCUCCAUCUUCUCCCACACCUUCUCCAUCCAUAAGAAACUGGUUUUUCGGGGCCUUCCAUGCCUUCCCCUUUCUUUGUCUCUCUCUUUUUUUUUUUUUAAAGCGAUAUUUUUCAAAAUAUAUGUGAAAUACCAAGGAUUGACGUCUGCCCCUCUGCCAUCUCUCCUCAUAAAGCUGGCUCUUUAUGUUGCUUUACAUGCCUUAAUAUAUGUUUUAUGAAGAUUACACAUAUUAUAGAUGUAUAUGUAAUAUAUAUAUUUGUUCGGAUGUCUGAUCCUUUCCUAGAACUCCUGCCCGGGCCCAUUUCCUCUCCUUUACUUUCCACGCCAUUCCUAGCAUACUGUGGCCAUACCCCCAUGCCUUUUGAUCCAAAGAAGGGGAGAGGAAAGACUUAUUUUAAGACAGAUCUAUUUUACGCUUUUGUUAUAAAAGCAAAUCUAUUUUCAAAAUGUGCAAUGUCUGAGUGGAAUUGGCAAGUGAUAUGAGGAGACUGGGGUGGCUGCCUCCAGGCCCAACCCUCCGCCCUUCCCUCCUCCGUGGCAGCUUCCUUCCUCCUCCUCCCCAGUCUGCAAAGGGCUGGUCCCCAGAGCUCACCCAGGGAGCAUCUCACCGGGGCAGGACAUUCUCUUGCAAGUCCUGGUCUAAGGAUUUGAUUACAUGGUCAACUCUUGUUGAGCCUCUAGGUUUAUCGGAUGUGAACCCUCUUGAAGGAAAUGUUUACAGUUGUGUGCACAGAAGUACGCCCGUGCAGGCACCCCCCCCCCCCCACCAUGUGCUCCUGGACCACUUCCUUCAUCACCCACUGGAAAGGGCAGACAGUUUAAUGGCAGCCUAAGCCAAACAGCACCGAGAAGGUCAGACUGUUCUUGAAUGGAUCCAGGAUAUGGUGCCACCGGCCAAAGGAAGCGAUUUGGGAUCACUGGUCCUUCGGUGUAGACACAUUCGAGUUCCUUGGACUUCUCACACUCCUUUUCACUUGAUCCCUCUCGGGUCUGGGUCGCAUCUAUGGCAUCUGUCUCCCUCUGUGACGUUUCUUUGGGGCCGUUGUUAAAGGGGAUGGUACCCCGGUCUGGCAUCCAGACUUUGAAGUCAGCCCAGAAGGUCCCAUGGACAAGGUGCAUCUCAGCCUUGCCAAGGACUUUCCUGCUCCUGGGGCCCUGAACUAAGCCAGCUCAGCCUUCCAGCUGCUUAUCAACUGUCGAAGUGGGCAAGGAGCUGUUGCCUUGCAAGGAUUUGGGCGAAAUGAAAGUCUUUUGUCCAGAUCUGGAAUCAAGGGUUUUGGAAUCUAGCACUGAGCUCCUGGCCAGCAUUUGAAGCCUGGCUUCCCACUCUGACAUUUCCUGGCAUCCUAUUCCUAGCCUAGAGCAUUUGCUAUGAAUGAUAGGGGCCCAGAUGGAAGCCCAGGGCUAAGGAACCCACCCAGGGAUAGUCCUGGUCACUAAUCUAGGGCCUUCCCAAUUAGCACAUUUCCUCCGUCAUCAAUAACCAAGAGGCUGUAAUCAAAUACUAACUCUGUCACUUAAAAGAUGUUCUGAGGUUGCAAGCUGUGCUCACUUGCUUUCUUGCCUUGGUGAGAGGCAUGCUCUUGGACCACGGCUGACUACAGCAAGACAGAAUUAAUUCCUUUCCCCCUUAGGCACCCCCCCCCAACCUGGCAGCUCUUAAAACUAAGGAAAAUAUGAAAUAUACAUAUAUAUAUAUAUAUACAUAUAUCUAUUUAUGCACAUAUUGGGGCCAAUUUGAUUUGCUAGUAUUAGACAAUAAACCAUACAAGGAAAUUUAUGAUCUCAGUGUCUUUAUUUAGUAUAAAAGUGACCUUAGAAGAAGAGUUAAGGUUAGAUAAACAGAGGGUAUCUCUGUCAGGGGACCAAACAACCAUAGCAGCCCCUUAGCAUCUUUCUAGCAGAUGAGCCUCUCCCCAGGGAGGGGCCAUCCUAAUUGACAGAUGAGAGCUUGCUUCCCUCUCAGCAGCAUUCUUUUUAGAUGUAGGUACUGAAGCACCCAGUGAGCUCGCAUUUGUAUCUUGCAAGUUUGUAUAAACCCAUUACAGGAAAUAAAUGGUUUGUACA
rnacentral:lncRNA from 1 species